CUCUCAACAAAACCCCAGCUCCUCUGUGGCCGCAUUCACUCACCACCACCACCACCACUGAAUCUCUUCUCUUUCACAACAAAACCCUAGCUCUGCUCUGCGGCCGCAUUCACCCACCACCACCACCACCACCACCACCACUGAAUCUCUUCUCUUUCACUCUCUUUAUACUAAAAGAUUGCUGAAUCUUUAGAUUUGAUCUCUCUAAGUAAAAACCCUAACACCGCUGUUGAGGACGAUUUGAAUCACAAAGAAAACUGCAGUUGAGGAGUUAUUCGAUAUUAUAAGUGUGGUUAGGGUUAUCAAUCUCGAGGAGUCAUCUUCAUCAAACCAUACUUGGUGGCAUUAAAAGAGGUUCAAGAAGAGAGUGAUUGCUGAGUAUGUUUGUGGAGCAUGAAUGUGAAAAAAUAUACUGGCUUAUGGAGCUAUACAUACGAUAUUCCGAUAGAGUUGAAGCAGAGACGGAAAGAGUGAGAGAUGGAUGAGGAUGAGCAACGACUGAAAACUGGAAUCUGGAUUGUACACUCUUCAGGUCAGUUUUGCUCUUGCUUUCAGGUCAGUUGAACACAUAUCCAGUUCAUUGUCUAGAAUGUAAAGCCAUAACUGCUGAAUUUGUGUUUUAUUUAUUGAGGAAGUAAUGAAAUAAGUUUGAUGAAAAUUAUUUGGUUCAGAGUGCAUUUUUUCUAUGUACGUAACUUGAUCUCUCCAAUUUGGAAAACUGAAAGUGAUCUAUCAUGUAUAUUUCAUUGCCAUCGGCUAUAUUUGGAUCUGAACUUAACUAGUCUAACUGUCUCUUUUUGUACAAAAAUAUGUUAUUGGUUGAAUAUUGUUUAACUCAGUUUGAAUUUUAUCUCCAGGGAAUAAGUUUGGAUGCAUAAUAUGUUUGUUCAAUAAUCUGAUAACUUAUAAUUUCACAUGUCCUGUUUGGUAUCCAAGUGAGCAUAACACGUACGCAGAUGUAUAUAAGUGCUUAGAAGAAAUCUAGGGCGCAAAACAGGAAGUGGUCUCACGCUGGAUCCUAACAGCUCGUUUACCUCAAUUAAGAGUCGCUGUUCUCCAGCCCCAUACUAUCAGACUUGUAUCUUGUAAAGCGGACAUACUGGUUUGACAUCUACAAGGUUGUAUUUCUAUACUCAACUAUUUAAUUUUUCUUUCUUUCUAGUGACUUGCGUAAUUAUUCCCGUUGUAUGUCUGAGCUUUUCUUUCCCUCUUGUUUAUGUGCAUAACAUUGACAAUACCUCGUUAGUUAGCUGUCCUGUGCUAACAAUUCAUGGAACAUCUGAUGAAGUUGUCGACUGUUCACAUGGGAAGCAAUUUUGGGAAUUGUGUAAAGAGAAGUAUGAACCUCUAUGAUAUCCUGUGCUAACAAUUCAUGGAACAUCUGAUGAAGUUGUUGACUGUUCACAUGGGAAGCAAUUUUGGGAAUUGUGUAAAGAGAAGUAUGAACCUCUAUUCUGAGUACACUGGCACCUCAGGAAGUUUGUCCAUAGUUAUUUUUUAUUUUAAAAAAAUCGUUGCUUUAAUCAUGUAAUACUUUGCCAUGACAUCUAGGUAAAACUGUAGUUCUAAAUGUCAAAAAAGGCAAACAAAAUCUCACUAUAAUUAUGUCAGUUCCAAUUCUAGCUUCCAAUGACCAUCCCUUGUUUUCUUUA